rnacentral:lncRNA from 1 species
UUUCUUAAGGGCAUAAAAGAAAGAGAGAAAGGUUCUCUCUUUUGCGUGAGAAAUUGAGAAAAAAGGGGUUUUUCUCUUGAUCUCUAUUGUAGAGAUCAAAUGCAUGGAUUCAAAAAGAAAAGGAGAGAGUCUUCUUAUUCUUCAUCUCUAAUAUAUUCUUCUUAGAUCAGCCAAAGAAUGGUAUCCUUGAGAGCUAGCACUCCUGGGG